rnacentral:lncRNA from 1 species
CGGGGCUUGGCUCUGGAGAGUUCUCGGGGAGGCGGGCCGGGCACUCGGGUCUCGCCAGCACCCUUGGGCUCCAGGCGGCUCCUCGGCGCCGCUCCUCCCUGGCCCCGGCGGUGUCUCGGCUGGGCGCCGGGGCCCUCCAGCUCGUCCCGUCUCGGGGCUGGGCCGCCUGCAGGCCCGCUCGCUGCUGUGGCCGGAGCCAACCCAGCGCUCCGCCAGCGCCUUGCGCCCCGGGCCACCAGCCCGCCCGUCGGCACGUGUCGCAGCACCGCCUCGGCUGUGGUUCCGGGUUAGAAGGGAAGGAUUCGUGAGGCCAUCGGUCAUCGGGCGGACAUGGGGCGGGGGCAGCCCAGCCAGAGGCCAGGGCGGCGGCGGCCUGGGCGGCGGCCCCUGGGCGGCGGGCUCUGGGCGGCGGGGCCUGUGCUGGUGCAGAAGCAGUCCUGCAGGCCUGAGCGUGGGAGCCCAAGAACGGAGCGAGGACACGUCAUCCGUGCCUGAGUGAGUGUUCUGGACUUCCCCAAGGACACGGGGAGGGAAGCAGGACCAGAUGUCAAAACUUAGCUUCCAAAGUAUCUUGUCAUCAUUGUUUCCUUAAUAAAUUCUGAUUGCUCCUGAAGAAAGUACGUG